rnacentral:sRNA from 1 species
UAGUUUGUUUUAGAUGGUCUACUUCAU